UAGCGUAUAUUAAAGUUGUUGCGGUUAAAAAGUUCGUAGUUGGAUUUCUGCUGGAUUCGGUCGGUCCGUGCUAUGCGCGAGUAUCUGUCCGAGCCCGGCAUCCUCGCGGAUCACGUUCCUGUGCUUCACUGCAUGGGUCGGAGUUCGCGACUUUUACUUUGAGGAAAUUAGAGUGUUCACGGCAGGCUAGGCCGGAAUACAUUAGCAUGGAAUAAUGGAAUAGGACUACGGUCUCUUUGUUGGUUUCUAGGGCUAAGAUAAUGAUUAAUAGGGACAAUUGGGGGCAUUCGUAUUAACGCGUC
rnacentral:rRNA from 1 species